AUCCUGGCUCAGGACGAACGCUGGCGGCGUGCCUAACACAUGCAAGUCGAACGGAACUUCUUUAAAGGAUUUCUUCGGAAUGAAUUUGAUUAAGUUUAGUGGCGGACGGGUGAGUAACGCGUGAGUAACCUGCCUCUAAGAGGGGAAUAACAUUCUGAAAAGAAUGCUAAUACCGCAUAAUAUAUAUUUAUCGCAUGGUAGAUAUAUCAAAGAUUUAUCGCUUAGAGAUGGACUCGCGUCCGAUUAGUUAGUUGGUGAGGUAACGGCUCACCAAGACUGCGAUCGGUAGCCGGACUGAGAGGUUGAACGGCCACAUUGGGACUGAGACACGGCCCAGACUCCUACGGGAGGCAGCAGUGGGGGAUAUUGCGCAAUGGGGGAAACCCUGACGCAGCAACGCCGCGUGAAGGAUGAAGGUCUUCGGAUUGUAAACUUCUUUUAUUAAGGACGAAGAAAGUGACGGUACUUAAUGAAUAAGCUCCGGCUAACUACGUGCCAGCAGCCGCGGUAAUACGUAGGGAGCAAGCGUUGUCCGGAUUUACUGGGUGUAAAGGGUGCGUAGGCGGCUUUGCAAGUCAGAUGUGAAAUCUAUGGGCUCAACCCAUAGCCUGCAUUUGAAACUGCAGAGCUUGAGUGAAGUAGAGGCAGGCGGAAUUCCCCGUGUAGCGGUGAAAUGCGUAGAGAUGGGGAGGAACACCAGUGGCGAAGGCGGCCUGCUGGGCUUUAACUGACGCUGAGGCACGAAAGCGUGGGUAGCAAACAGGAUUAGAUACCCUGGUAGUCCACGCUGUAAACGAU
rnacentral:rRNA from 1 species